GGCGGCGUGCCUAACACAUGCAAGUCGAGCGAGGAGAUCCUUCGGGAUGAUCCUAGCGGCGGACGGGUGAGUAACACGUGGGCAACCUGCCUCAUAGAGAGGAAUAGCCUUCCGAAAGGGGGAUUAAUACCUCAUAACAUUGCAGUUUCGCAUGGAACAGCAAUUAAAGGAGCAAUCCACUAUGAGAUGGGCCCGCGGCGCAUUAGCUAGUUGGUGAGGUAACGGCUCACCAAGGCGACGAUGCGUAGCCGACCUGAGAGGGUGAUCGGCCACAUUGGGACUGAGACACGGCCCAGACUCCUACGGGAGGCAGCAGUGGGGAAUAUUGCACAAUGGGGGAAACCCUGAUGCCAGCAACGCCGCGUGAGUGAUGACGGCCUUCGGGUUGUAAAGCUCUGUCUUCAGGGACGAUAAUGACGGUACCUGAGGAGGAAGCCACGGCUAACUACGUGCCAGCCGCCGC
rnacentral:rRNA from 1 species